ACGGAAGAGGAUGAGGAGACAUUGAGUUAGUAACAUGACUUGAAGCGAAAUUCAGCUGGUCACAUCUUUCAGCAAAGCAACGGUAAGAGGAACCAAACUCCUCAUCCAGCAUCUGAAUCAGUUCUUCUGGCCUCCAAGAGAUUCACCAAACCAUCCAGACUCUUGUUCAGGCCUGCAAAUAAAUUUUGCCAGCAUAAUCAAAUUCAAAUCGAACCUUAUAGCUCUGUGGUUGGGACUGCACUUAGAAUAGUAUAGGUCUAGAAAAAGUGCAUUCGAAACGCUGUCCUGGUGAGCUUAGCUUAAUGGGUUUCUCUGAUUAUUUCUAUCUUUUUUAAUGCUGUGUGUUUCUUGCAGUAUGUUGAGAUGUCGCAAUAGGAGCAAGAAAAGAAGCAAAUAAGUGAAGCAAGCACAUCCAUUCUGCGUUAAGGAGGAGAAACCAUGAGGAUUUUAUUUUUACCUGAGAGAGAGGUUGUGGGAAGUAUUAAUUAGUCAGCUGUGCUUUUGCUGCUGAUAUCCAUACCAUGGGAGUCCUUAGGAAUUGCCAUUGUAUUAUCUAUCUAUUUUCUUCAUUUCAUAGUUUUAAAGUGAGGGAGAAAGAAUCUAGUUGAUGGAGAAGUAGAUAAACUGUAUGCACACGUUAAGAAUGAUCUUUUUAUGCUACAGAAAGGAAGCUUCAGAAAGACUCUGACUUAUGGAGUUGGUGGAUGAACAAGAUUUGCAGUAGCAAAAGCUUAUGAUGCAACCCUUCUUUUGUAGCCUGUACGGG
rnacentral:lncRNA from 1 species